GAUGAACGCUGGCGGCGUGCCUAAUACAUGCAAGUCGAGCGAACAGACGAGGAGCUUGCUCCUCUGACGUUAGCGGCGGACGGGUGAGUAACACGUGGAUAACCUACCUAUAAGACUGGGAUAACUUCGGGAAACCGGCGCUAAUACCGGAUAAUAUAUUGAACCGCAUGGUUCAAUAGUGAAAGACGGUUUUGCUGUCACUUAUAGAUGGAUACGCGCCGCAUUAGCUAGUUGGUAAGGUAACGGCUUACCAAGGCAACGAUGCGUAGCCGACCUGAGAGGGUGAUCGGCCACACUGGAACUGAGACACGGUCCAGACUCCUACGGGAGGCAGCAGUAGGGAAUCUUCCGCAAUGGGCGAAAGCCUGACGGAGCAACGCCGCGUGAGUGAUGAAGGUCUUCGGAUCGUAAAACUCUGUUAUUAGGGAAGAACAAAUGUGUAAGUAACUAUGCACGUCUUGACGGUACCUAAUCAGAAAGCCACGGCUAACUACGUG
rnacentral:rRNA from 1 species